GCAUAACGCGAAGAACCUUACCCACCUUUGACAUGUACGGAAUCCUUUAGAGAUAGAGGAGUGCUCGAAAGAGAGCCGUAACACAGGUGCUGCAUGGCUGUCGCCAGCUCGUGUCGUGAGAUGUUGGGUUAAGUCCCGCAACGAGCGCAACCCUUGCCAUUAGUUGCUACAUUUAGUUGAGCACUCUAAUGGGACUGCCGGUGACAAACCGGAGGAAGGUGGGGAUGACGUCAAGUCCUCAUGGCCCUUAUAGGUGGGGCUACACACGUCAUACAAUGGCUGGUACAAAGGGUUGCCAACCCGCGAGGGGGAGCUAAUCCCAUAAAGCCAGUCGUAGUCCGGAUCGCAGUCUGCAACUCGACUGCGUGAAGUCGGAAUCGCUAGUAAUCGUGGAUCAGAAUGUCACGGUGAAUACGUUCCCGGGUCUUGUACACACCG
rnacentral:rRNA from 1 species